UUUCCAGUUCUUUAACAUUCAGCGAUUGACCGAGCUGUAUGAAAAGGAAGUGCGUUACCUUAUGCAAACACAUCAGAAAACUCAGACGAAAGACACAAUUGAAGUUGAUGAACCUGAAGAAGUUGGAGAUC